CACACAUCAUUCUCUUAAAUGACAAGUGUCAUUUACAGAGAAGGUUUUCUUUGACUUUUACGAGGUUUUUAGCUUUAACCCUCUAGAUUUUCCUUCUCUAUAACUCUCCAAACUUUGGCUACUCAGGUGGAGUAAAUCAAUAUCUUUGCCAACACUGAAUGAUUGUUAACGUUGUCGUAGUUGGGGUUGUGAAUCACUAGAGUACACUUACCUGCCGUCUGGGUUUGGCUUCAAAUUGCAGGAUCACAGACUUGUUAUUUAAUCAAAGUCUGUCUGUCUCUCUGUCUGUCUCUCUUUCUUUCUUCCAUAUUUAGUUCUUGAACACUUCCAGCAACCAUGAAAACUCGGGCUUAGAUACGCCUACUUUACCCUCCACGCCUCUCAUUGGUCACAAACUGACACCGUGUCACCGAGACCAGACUGUGAAAACUCAAAAGGAAAACUCCAUCUUUAGAACUCCAGCUAUCAAAAGGUCAAUCCUCGAAAGCUCUCCCAGAACUCCCACACCAUUCAAACAUGCCCUGGCAGCUCAAGAAAUUAAAUACGGUCCCCUGAAGAUGCUA
rnacentral:lncRNA from 1 species